rnacentral:rRNA from 1 species
GAUGAACGCUAGCGGCAGGCCUAAUACAUGCAAGUCGGACGGGAUUCAGGAGCUUGCUUCUGAUGAGAGUGGCGCACGGGUGCGUAACACGUAUGUAACCUACCUUUAUCAGGGGGAUAGCCUCUCGAAAGAGAGAUUAAGCCCGCAUAAAAUCACAGCACAGCAUUGUGUAAUGAUCAAAUAUUUAUAGGAUAAAGAUGGGCAUGCGGAACAUUAGCUAGAUGGCGGGGUAACGGCCCACCAUGGCGACGAUGUUUAGGGGAUCUGAGAGGAUGGCCCCCCACACUGGUACUGAGACACGGACCAGACUCCUACGGGAGGCAGCAGUAAGGAAUAUUGGUCAAUGGGCGGAAGCCUGAACCAGCCAUGCCGCGUGCAGGAAGACAGCCCUACGGGUGGUAAACUGCUUUUAUACGGGAAUAAACCCAGAUACGUGUAUCUGGCUGAAUGUACUGUAAGAAUAAGGAUCGGCUAACUCCGUG